rnacentral:ncRNA from 2 species
ACCUAGGGUAGAGGUGCUGUAAUUAUAAGUAAUUGUUCUUAGCUUGCAGGCGAAGAGGAACAAGGAAAGGAAUUAUAGCCGAAGGAGAUAUUUUGGCAAAGGGAUCUUCUGGUUUUGUAUAAAAUAUAUGCAAAACUGUCACUAUUGGUUUUGGUAUAGUGGAGAGCUACAGGGUAC